ACACAUCAUAGUUCUUACUGCUUGUGUUUCCAGGGUAAGGAGAAAGAAUGACAAGCUCUGGCUCAAUUUUGGCAUUCUUGAUUUCUAAAUAACCUAAGGAUUUACAAAGCUUCAGAGACAGAAGGUGAACAAACCAGUGCACAAAUAUCCAGAACAGGCAAUGAGAUUAACUCCAUUCUGCCUUGCACAGAUCUGCCCUUCAAGCAAUUUCUUUCAUGAGGGGAUGCAGUGCUAUGAAUGUACACAUCCUGGAAAGUAUAUUUGGUGAGUUCAUGCAUGCCUUGGACUAUCCUCGCUGCCUGCUCUCAGAUAUUCUUAGUCUGAGUCAGGCAUUGCCAGGAUCAUGCUUUGGUCCAGUGAAACUUCACCUGCUGGUGCCAUCCUGCACUAUUGUCUCUGCUGCUCACAAGCUGGUUUUUUUAUGCAACUUUUUCAAAUUCAUAUUUAGCAGACCCUGUACUUGUGCUCACCAACUCAAAGACACUUUACUUUCCUUCCCAGCUAUGUUAAACCCCUCUAAGGUGAAUAAGGAGGCUUCUACCUCCAAAUGCAGAUUGUUUUCUCUCUGUGACCUUUUUAGCAUUUGAGGUUUACCAGAUGUUUGUAACAAUCUUUCUUCUCAACAAAGCUUUGUAGUUUCUCUACUGUUUCUACUGUUUAUCAGCAAUUCUCAAUUAUUAGCUUGCAUUUGAAUUAUCUAUUCUAAUUAUUUAAUUAUUUAUAUUUAUGUCCAGAUGAUGACAUAUAAAGCAGAGAUUUCAAUAGCCAGUGAAUUUUCACAAAAUAUCAAAGAAUAAAUCCAAGUCAUGAGAGUCUGCA
rnacentral:lncRNA from 1 species